GAUGAACGCUGGCGGCGUGCUUAACACAUGCAAGUCGAACGAAGCACAUUUGAUUGAUUUCUUCGGGAAGAAAGAGAUUGUGACUGAGUGGCGGACGGGUGAGUAACGCGUGGGUAACCUGCCUCAUACAGGGGGAUAACAGUUAGAAAUGACUGCUAAUACCGCAUAAGCACACAGCUUCGCAUGAAGCAGUGUGAAAAACUCCGGUGGUAUGAGAUGGACCCGCGUCUGAUUAGGUAGUUGGUGGGGUAACGGCCUACCAAGCCGACGAUCAGUAGCCGACCUGAGAGGGUGACCGGCCACAUUGGGACUGAGACACGGCCCAA
rnacentral:rRNA from 1 species